UACAGAGGGUGCAAGCGUUAAUCGGAAUUACUGGGCGUAAAGGGUGCGUAGGUGGUUAUUUAAGUGAGGUGUGAAAGUCCUGGGCUCAACCUGGGGACUGCGCCUUAUACUGGAUGACUAGAGUCUUGUAGAGGGAAGUGGAAUUUCCGGUGUAGCAGUGAAAUGCGUAGAUAUCGGAAGGAACAUCAGUGGCGAAGGCGACUUCCUGGACAAAGACUGACACUGAGGCACGAAAGCAUGGGGAGCAAACAGG
rnacentral:rRNA from 1 species